UACAUGGGGUGCAAACGUUGCUCGGAAUUAUUGGGCGUAAAGCGCACGUAGGCGGUUCGUUAAGUCGGAUGUGAAAGCCCUCGGCUCAACUGAGGAAGUGCACCCGAAACUGGCGAGCUUGAGUACGAAAAGAGGAUCGCGGAAUUCCCGGUGUAGAGGUGAAAUUCGUAGAUAUCGGGAGGAACACCGGUGGCGAAGGCGGCGAUCUGGGUCGAUACUGACGCUGAGGUGCGAAAGCGUGGGGAGCAAACAGG
rnacentral:rRNA from 1 species